GUCAAAUUAAUUUGCUGGUCCUUUCUGUUUUCUUCACUCUUAGAAAAGCACCAAAUGUUAAACAAAUAGCACAUGGCUGAGAAAAAAAAUAAGUGUGCGGUUCCUGAGACAAGUGAUGCUCUGAAGAAGUGGGUUGAUUGCGGAGUUUUGCGAAGACACCAUGAAGGCACAUCAUAUACACGGCUGCUGAGAACAAAAGCUGUUUUCUCCAUCUCUCCUCUGUUUUCUACCCCCUGCUUUAAAAGAAAUAAUAUCUGAUUACUAACAAAGAGUACCUUCUCUUUAAUGCACCCCACACAUUGCACAUGUGAAGGGACCCUACAAUUUCAGGCAAGAAAAAGAGAAUUGAUGUUUUCAGGCAUAAGGGCCAAUAAUUACAGUGAUUUUCUAUUCCUUGGAUCUCUGAUUGCCAAUAUCUUUGGAUGACUUCAAAUGCCAUUUUUCAGCUUCAGAUAUAGCUUCAGUGAUGCUUUCUAACAUUCCAGUAAGUAUUGACAAUUUGUCUUUGAACGGAUGACAGUGUUAGAGCUUUAUUCAAGUGGGAGAAAACAAGAGCCAUUUUACACUGGCUUUCUAGAAAGACAG
rnacentral:lncRNA from 1 species